GAUGAACGCUGGCGGCGUGCCUAAUACAUGCAAGUCGAGCGAACAGAUAAGGAGCUUGCUCCUUUGACGUUAGCGGCGGACGGGUGAGUAACACGUGGGUAACCUACCUAUAAGACUGGAAUAACUCCGGGAAACCGGGGCUAAUGCAGGAUAACAUGUUGAACCGCAUGGUUCUACAGUGAAAGGCGGCUUUGCUGUCACUUAUAGAUGGACCCGCGCCGUAUUAGCUAGUUGGUGAGGUAACGGCUCACCAAGGCAACGAUACGUAGCCGACCUGAGAGGGUGAUCGGCCACACUGGAAUUGAGACACGGUCCAGACUCCUACGGGAGGCAGCAGUAGGGAAUCUUCCGCAAUGGGCGAAAGCCUGACGGAGCAACGCCGCGUGAGUGAUGAAGGUCUUCGGAUCGUAAAACUCUGUUAUUAGGGAAGAACAAAUGCGUAAGUAACUGUGCGCGUCUUGACGGUACCUAAUCAGAAAGCCACGGCUAACUACGUG
rnacentral:rRNA from 1 species